rnacentral:rRNA from 1 species
UACAGAGGGUGCAAACGUUGCUCGGAAUCAUUGGGCGUAAAGCGCACGUAGGCGGACUCUUAAGUCGGGGGUGAAAGCCCAGGGCUCAACCCUGGAACUGCCUUCGAUACUGGGAGUCUUGAGUAUGGUAGAGGUUGGUGGAACUGCGAGUGUAGAGGUGAAAUUCGUAGAUAUUCGCAAGAACACCAGUGGCGAAGGCGGCCAACUGGACCAUUACUGACGCUGAGGUGCGAAAGCGUGGGGAGCAAACAGG